CUGUGAAGUGUACUAGAACUUGUGAGUAGUGUGUCGCUUGUGACCACCAAAGCAUACACAAUGAAGCAGUAA
rnacentral:sRNA from 1 species